GGUUAAGCGACUAAGCGUACACGGUGGAUGCCCUGGCAGUCAGAGGCGAUGAAGGACGUGCUAAUCUGCGAAAAGCGUCGGUAAGGUGAUAUGAACCGUUAUAACCGGCGAUGUCCGAAUGGGGAAACCCAGUGCUAUUCGUUGCACUAUCGUUAACUGAAUACAUAGGUUAACGAGGCGAACCGGGGGAACUGAAACAUCUAAGUACCCCGAGGAAAAGAAAUCAACCGAGAUUCCCCCAGUAGCGGCGAGCGAACGGGGAGCAGCCCAGAGUCUGAAUCAGCUUGUGUGUUAGUGGAACGGUCUGGAAAGUCCGACGGUACAGGGUGAUAGUCCCGUACACCAAAAUGCACAGGCUGUGAACUCGAAGAGUAGGGCGGGACACGUGGUAUCCUGUCUGAAUAUGGGGGGACCAUCCUCCAAGGCUAAAUACUCCUGACUGACCGAUAGUGAACCAGUACCGUGAGGGAAAGGCGAAAAGAACCCCGGCGAGGGGAGUGAAAAAGAACCUGAAACCGUGUACGUACAAGCAGUGGGAGCACCUUCGGGUGUGACUGCGUACCUUUUGUAUAAUGGGUCAGCGACUUAUAUUCUGUAGCAAGGUUAACCGUAUAGGGGAGCCGCAGGGAAACCGAGUCUUAACUGGGCGUUAAGUUGCAGGGUAUAGACCCGAAACCCGGUGAUCUAGCCAUGGGCAGGUUGAAGGUUGGGUAACACUAACUGGAGGACCGAACCGACUAAUGUUGAAAAAUUAGCGGAUGACUUGUGGCUGGGGGUGAAAGGCCAAUCAAACCGGGAGAUAGCUGGUUCUCCCCGAAAGCUAUUUAGGUAGCGCCUCGUGAAUUCAUCUUCGGGGGUAGAGCACUGUUUCGGCUAGGGGGUCAUCCCGACUUACCAACCCGAUGCAAACUACGAAUACCGAAGAAUGUUAUCACGGGAGACACACGGCGGGUGCUAACGUCCGUCGUGAAGAGGGAAACAACCCAGACCGCCAGCUAAGGUCCCAAAGUCAUGGUUAAGUGGGAAACGAUGUGGGAAGGCACAGACAGCCAGGAUGUUGGCUUAGAAGCAGCCAUCAUUUAAAGAAAGCGUAAUAGCUCACUGGUCGAGUCGGCCUGCGCGGAAGAUGUAACGGGGCUAAACCAUGCACCGAAGCUGCGGCAGCGACACUAUGUGUUGUUGGGUAGGGGAGCGUUCUGUAAGCCUGCGAAGGUGACCUGUGAGGGUUGCUGGAGGUAUCAGAAGUGCGAAUGCUGACAUAAGUAACGAUAAAGCGGGUGAAAAGCCCGCUCGCCGGAAGACCAAGGGUUCCUGUCCAACGUUAAUCGGGGCAGGGUGAGUCGACCCCUAAGGCGAGGCCGAAAGGCGUAGUCGAUGGGAAACAGGUUAAUAUUCCUGUACUUGGUGUUACUGCGAAGGGGGGACGGAGAAGGCUAUGUUAGCCGGGCGACGGUUGUCCCGGUUUAAGCAUGUAGGCUGAUUGUCCAGGCAAAUCCGGAUAAUCAAGGCUGAGGUGUGAUGACGAGGCACUACGGUGCUGAAGUAACAAAUGCCCUGCUUCCAGGAAAAGCCUCUAAGCAUCAGGUAACAUCAAAUCGUACCCCAAACCGACACAGGUGGUCAGGUAGAGAAUACCAAGGCGCUUGAGAGAACUCGGGUGAAGGAACUAGGCAAAAUGGUGCCGUAACUUCGGGAGAAGGCACGCUGGUGUGUAGGUGAAGUCCCUGCGGAUGGAGCUGAGACCAGUCGAAGAUACCAGCUGGCUGCAACUGUUUAUUAAAAACACAGCACUGUGCAAACACGAAAGUGGACGUAUACGGUGUGACGCCUGCCCGGUGCCGGAAGGUUAAUUGAUGGGGUUAUCCGUAAGGAGAAGCUCUUGAUCGAAGCCCCGGUAAACGGCGGCCGUAACUAUAACGGUCCUAAGGUAGCGAAAUUCCUUGUCGGGUAAGUUCCGACCUGCACGAAUGGCGUAAUGAUGGCCAGGCUGUCUCCACCCGAGACUCAGUGAAAUUGAACUCGCUGUGAAGAUGCAGUGUACCCGCGGCAAGACGGAAAGACCCCGUGAACCUUUACUAUAGCUUGACACUGAACAUUGAGCCUUGAUGUGUAGGAUAGGUGGGAGGCUUUGAAGCGUGGACGCCAGUCUGCGUGGAGCCAACCUUGAAAUACCACCCUUUAAUGUUUGAUGUUCUAACGUUGGCCCCUUAUCGGGGUUGCGGACAGUGUCUGGUGGGUAGUUUGACUGGGGCGGUCUCCUCCCAAAGCGUAACGGAGGAGCACGAAGGUUAGCUAAUCCUGGUCGGACAUCAGGAGGUUAGUGCAAUGGCAUAAGCUAGCUUGACUGCGAGCGUGACGGCGCGAGCAGGUGCGAAAGCAGGUCAUAGUGAUCCGGUGGUUCUGAAUGGAAGGGCCAUCGCUCAACGGAUAAAAGGUACUCCGGGGAUAACAGGCUGAUACCGCCCAAGAGUUCAUAUCGACGGCGGUGUUUGGCACCUCGAUGUCGGCUCAUCACAUCCUGGGGCUGAAGUAGGUCCCAAGGGUAUGGCUGUUCGCCAUUUAAAGUGGUACGCGAGCUGGGUUUAGAACGUCGUGAGACAGUUCGGUCCCUAUCUGCCGUGGGCGCUGGAGAAUUGAGGGGGGCUGCUCCUAGUACGAGAGGACCGGAGUGGACGCAUCACUGGUGUUCGGGUUGUCAUGCCAAUGGCACUGCCCGGUAGCUAAAUGCGGAAGAGAUAAGUGCUGAAAGCAUCUAAGCACGAAACUUGCCCCGAGAUGAGUUCUCCCUGAGACUUUAAGUCUCCUGAAGGAACGUUAAAGACGAUGACGUUGAUAGGCCGGGUGUGUAAGCGCAGCGAUGCGUUGAGCUAACCGGUACUAAUGAACCGUGAGGCUUAACCUU
rnacentral:rRNA from 1 species